rnacentral:rRNA from 1 species
UACGGAGGGGGCGAGCGUUGUCCGAAUUUACUGGGCGUAAAGCGCGCGUAGGCGGGUGGCUAAGUCCGCUGUGAAAGCCCGGGGCUCAACCCCGGAGGGUCGGUGGAUACUGGUCGUCUUGAAGCAGCUAGGGGGAAAUGGAAUGACCGGUGUAGCGGUGAAAUGCGUAGAUAUCGGUCGGAACACCCGUGGCGAAGGCGGUUUCCUGGGGCUGUCUUGACGCUGAGGCGCGAAAGCUGGGGGAGCGAACGGG